rnacentral:pre_miRNA from 1 species
UGCAUCAUCUUACUUGUAACAGCAUUAGAUUAGAAUUUAUUUCAAUUUGAAAUUUCUAAUACUGUCAGGUAAAGAUGUCGUU